ensembl:lncRNA
GUUUAUGUAAGUAGUGUAAUCCAUGCAACUAAGCUAACGUUACAGCGCAUGGUAGCUGGGGUUUAUUAUCGGUCCUUGUUGUACGGACAUUUGAACAUACGAGAACAGUAACCAUGAUGGCGUUUUGUGUUCAUUGAUUCGAAGGGUCUGUUGAAAUACGUCAGGAUGGCCGAGCGGUCUAAGGCGCUGCGUUCAGGUCGCAGUCUCCUCUGGUGGCGUGGGUUCGAAUGCCACUUCUGACAUUACAUUUGGAUUUCGUUGAUUGUGAUUAUCUGUUCAAACUUUGUAAUACGGAGAACAUUUGGAAAAGGUAAGGAGGUUUAAACUCAAAGUGACUGGCUGGCUACUUUGGGGUAGUAGAAAGGGGUAAUGAGAGGGGUGUCUU